GUUAAACACUGAAAGCAUUGCAAAACGCAUGUGGCUUUGACCAUAUUACGACUUGGAACUUGGAGGCUUGGGAAAGGUCAAACGGCAACUCUCUCCUCUAUCCUUCCCAGCCCUAAUCCUUUUUCUGCUUCCACUUUCCAAGCGGUAGCUACCACUGUACUCAUCCAUUAACACCAAUUCCAAACAUCCCUUUCACUCUCAAUUCAAUUUUCAAGGUUUUACAUUCUCGCUACUCACUUUCUUUUUCACUGCACCCUCGCCAUUCUUCUUCUUCAAUUCCGCGCUUUCAGCUUCCUCCACUGUUGCUCCAACUAUCUAUUUUAACUUUCAUAGCCAAGUGGUGAUAAUUUGGAGAGGCAUCAUGCCAGCGGUGCGGUGUUUUAUUCCUGAAGACACCGUAGAUCAGAAAUUACAUAUAGAAAGGAAGCUUGGUAGUGUCAAAGCACGCAAGUAUUUUGAUCUGCUGCAGAGAUUUCUGAGUCUCAAAAUUAGCAAAAGUGAAUUUGAUAGGACCUGCAUAGCAACUAUUGGGAGAGAAAAUGUUCCUCUUCAUAAUCAUUUGCUCAAGUCAAUCCUGAGAAAAGCUUGUCUCUCUAAGACAAUUGGGUCAAGAGAAAGCAAAACCGUAAGUUCUUUGAAUGUGAAAACAUCAAAUGGGUGUAGCAAUCUUCAAUUUCUGUGCAAGGACUUUCCACAAUCUCCUCGAAAAGGCAGGACUCCAAAUUUGCGUGAUCGCAGAUACAGGGACCGUCCCAGCCCUCUGGGUCCUCAUGGAAAGAACAACAUUGGAUGUGACGAUUCAGUCCUAAAAACUCAUGAGCAGCAGAGCAUUGCUGAUCUACAGUCCCCAGGGAGUAGACUUGCUCUUCCAGUGGAAGAUGAGGAGGAGAUUGAUCAGGACUCUGAAAUCAUGAACCUUUACAAAAGGGGUCCUAUUGAAGCACCUCUGGGUAUUCCAAUUAACAACAGAAGACCACAAAAAUAUUUAUCCCAAGGAUUAUCGCUUGGUACUUUAAGUGAUACCUGUCAUAACAUUGGUCAGUUACCAGAUACAUCUUCUUUAACCACAAGGUUAGAACAGAAAUUGGAAAUAGAAGGAUGUAAGAUUUCCAUGGAUGCAGCCAACUUGUUAAAUAAUGCACUUGAUCUUUAUCUCAAAAGAUUGAUAAAGCCGUGUUUGGAUUUAGCUGCUUCAAAGUCUGUAAAUAAGUUUGGUGCUUCAAUCCAACCUAGUUUGAAGGAGCUACCAAUGAGAAGGGGUGUGCAAAGACAAUUUGGAUCUGCUUCUGUAUCUCUAUCUGACUUUAGAACAGCAAUAGAGUUGAAUCCUACUCUGUUAGGGAAAGAUUGGCCUCUAAAUUUAGAGAAGGUUUGCCUUCGUGAAUCAGAGGAAUGAUGCAAGACAGGUUCAAUACUGCCGGCUAUAAAAUUGAAUUCCCCUUGAAGUGGAUGGAUGAUAUUGGAAUAGGUAUCAAUGAAUGUAAUCUGCAAAUGGAGAUUGUAAAUUGCACACGUUACAGGUAUGCUGAACAAACCAGGUAUGCAGCUCAUUUUCUUGUUGUGUGCGGGGUUGUAUUUUAUCAUGAUGGAAUUGAUUUUGUUUUUUAUACAGAAAAUAUUGGAGUGUGAAUGUAAGAAUAAGAUUGCUCCCAUGGCUUUGAAAUGGAUUGAAAUAAUAGUUAAUACAAAUAGGUCAGCAAAUAUUAUAGU